rnacentral:rRNA from 1 species
GUGGGGAAUAUUGGGCAAUGGGGGAAACCCUGACCCAGCAACGCCGCGUGAAGGAAGAAGGUUUUCGGAUUGUAAACCUCUGUCCUUGGUGACGAAGGAAGUGACGGUAACCAAGGAGGAAGCCCCGGCUAACUACGUGCCAGCAGCCGCGGUAAUACGUAGGGGGCAAGCGUUGUCCGGAAUGACUGGGCGUAAAGGGCGUGUAGGCGGCCGAUUAAGUCUGGAGUGAAAGUCCUGCUUUCAAGGUGGGAAUUGCUUUGGAGACUGGUUGGCUUGAGUGCGGAAGAGGUAAGUGGAAUUCCCAGUGUAGCGGUGAAAUGCGUAGAGAUUGGGAGGAACACCAGUGGCGAAGGCGACUUACUGGGCCGUAACUGACGCUGAGGCGCGAAAGCGUGGGGAGCGAACAGGAUUAGAUACCCCGGUAGUCC